CCUGGUGUGAGUUUAAGCCACGGGGUCCAGGACUCAAACCACAGUCGACUACUGGGAGUUUUAAAAGCCACCGCGUCUUGAAACUUGAACCAUGCCGUUGGCUAUGUUAGGUCUAUAAUAGCUCAUGUAACCAGCAGACUAGGGCUGGCCAUAACUAGAACUUUUUAAUCUCAGUGUAUGAAUAUUAUUUGAUUGAUUCAGUCACGAUGACCAUAUGGAAUACAUUCUAUGUGAGGUCACUAAUUGUGAUUGUUCCCCUUUUCUAUCUUUAGUAGGUCAGUAUCACUUCAGACAAAUAGCAAACUUUUAUCACCUAUGUUCUUGACUAUAAACAGUAAAAGUUUAGUGGUUUUAUAUACACGUCAAGACCUUCCUUUUUCUUUCUUCUUCAGAAAAUCAGUGCCAGUCAUUUCAAGGAAACAGAUGAUGUUUCCUCCAAACAUCUUUCUUAAGGACGGAAAAUUAGCUGGUCCUUCCUGCAUCCAGAAGAUAUAACUAAGCACAUCCUUGGACCUAGCUGACUGGAGGGAUGGCAAGGUGAUUGCAACAUGCAAGGAUAUCAUAAGGACCCACUAAUCGAAGUCCAAGGCUUGCAGAAACAGGAGAAUGAUUCUGGAGAAACUUACCAGCUGGCUUUUCAGGAUCAAGUUCUUCACAGAACUUCCAAAAGUGAUAGAAAUCUUCAG